GGGUCAGUAGGUUGGUCGUGCCACCGGUACGUACUGGUCUCACUGAUUCCUCCUUCCUGAAGAACCGUAAUGCCAUUAAUUUGGUGUUGCGGGGAAACAGGACUGUUACUUUGAAAAAAUUAGAGUGUUUAAAGCAAGCUAACGCUUGAAUACAUUAACAUGGAAUAGUGAAAUAGGACGAUCGAUCCUAUUUUGUUGGUUUCUAGGAUUGACGUA
rnacentral:rRNA from 1 species